rnacentral:rRNA from 1 species
AUUGAACGCUGGCGGCAGGCCUAACACAUGCAAGUAGAACGAGUGGCGGACGGGUGAGUAAUGUCUGGGAAAAUGCCCGAUGGAGGGGGAUAACUACUGGAAACAGUAGCUAAUACCGCAUACCAUCGGAUGUGCCCAGUUGGGAUUAGCUAGUAGGUGGGGUAACGGCUAACGAAGGCGACGAUCCCUAGCUGGUCUUAGAGGAGGACCGUCCACACUGGACAUUGGACACGGUCCAGACUCCUACGGGAGGCAGCAGUGGUGAUUAUUGCACAAUGGGCGCAAGCCUGAUGCAGCCAUGCCGCGUGUAUGAAGAAGGCCUUCGGGUGGUAAAGUACUUUCAGCGGGGAGGCGUUACUCGCAGAAGAAGCACCGGCUAACUCCGUGCCAGCAGCCGCGGUAAUAC